rnacentral:lncRNA from 1 species
CGAGCACACAGCUGGACUCUGAGCCGCAUGGGGGGGCCUCAGGCAGCACCCCCCCAAGCCCCAGUGUGCCAUUGGGCAGGUAAAACAUGGGUCCCUCCCUGCCUGCAGGAUGUGGGGCCAGAGCACAAGUACUGGGGAGUCUGCAGUCCUGGGGCCACGGUCAGAAAGGGUCCCUGCCCAGGCACCCCCUCCAGCUUGACCACCAGGUCCCGGUCCAGAAUGGCUCAGGCCUAGGGACACAGGCCCUGCAGGGUUCUCUGCCCAUCUCUGCAGCCAUGGGCUGGGGCCCUGGACACAGGACCAGGUCUCUCUGUCUCCACCUGCUGGGCUGAUACUGCCUCCGCCUUGCCUCCCCGUCAGCCUGGAGAUCUUGGGGCAAGUCUCCUGGGAGCCAGCUCUUUGUCCCCAGGCACCACCCUCAGCAGCCCCACUCGGCCCAGCAUCCGUCCCAGGAACCCAGCCCCUGACACACCCCCUGGGGCCCUGGCCCCAGCCUCCCACAGGCCUGGGAGGGGCCCACUCCGUGGUCUCCAGGCCCUUGGCUCCUCGGUCUCCCAGACUCGGUUCAAGUGUCCCUUCCUCAUGGAAGCCUCUACCCUCCCCUGCGCCUGAGCCCCUCCCCACGGCUGCUCACAGGGAAGUCAGAAACCAGCUCAAGCCCAGCGAAAAGGACAACGCAGCAGAGUGGGGUGUGAGGGGUGCGGGGAAAGCAGGGCCGAGGGGGUGCUGUGCGGUGAGGGCCGCGUGAAAACCCGGGAGCCAGGCCGCCAGCGGACCUGACUUCAGGAGUGAGAAGUACAGCCCAGGUUCAGGGUCAGGAGAAGGGAGGAGGUACACACGGAGGAUGGAAAAAUAGGGGAAAACCGGGACGUGGAACCUACAGUUGGCUCCUUCGAAGAGCAGCACACUUGACAGACGCUUGACUAGAUGCGCUCAGAAAAACGGACUCAAAUUAGAAAAGGAGGCAUGAGAGUGGGGGCAUCGGCACCGACCCCACAGAAACAAGGGGCCGUGGGAGGUCUGGGAGGAGCACGCGUAGGCCAACGAGGACGACCCUCGCGGGAAGGACAGAAGGCGCAGCCGGUGCAGGAAGCC